AUUCUUGAAUGCUAGACUCAGUCCAGCUUCAGUCUAGUUUCCCUCACCUCCCCACUCCAGUGUUGUUGAUGUGGUUGAGGUCAGAGGGGUAAAUAUGAGGUUCAAGGGAUCAGUACUGGAGAAGGAAACAGUGUUUACCUCCAAGUUCUAGAUCCAAGAUGAGAUCAAAAAACGUGACCUGGCGAGGAGCUAUCAAAUGAGCACAGCAAUGGGAGCACAGCAAGAAAUGUUCACUGAUAUUUCUUGGAAUGAAAUUAUAGAUACACUUCUGCAUUUGAAGUAUUAUAGCAAAAAGAACUCCUUCAAGGUGAAUUUAACAACCAGACUGAGGGACUCUGCUAAUUCACUUUAUUCUGGUCUCAUCCCUGAUGGAAAGGACAAGAGUUGACAAUGAGGACAGCUGCUUGUUUGAAGAAAAAAUACACUUAGAUAACAGGAUGGAUCUGGGGCUCAGCAGAGGUGCUGAAGCUUCUCACAGGUGGGUUUUCAGGCACAGUUUCCAAAUCCCCCAAAAGCUAAAGAUUAAUGUUCAU
rnacentral:lncRNA from 1 species